rnacentral:rRNA from 1 species
GACGAACGCUGGCGGCGUGCUUAACACAUGCAAGUCGAACGGAAAGGCCUGCUUUCCCUUGUGGAUUGCGGGUACUCGAGUGGCGAACGGGUGAGUAACACGUGAGUGAUCUGCCCCCAACUUGGGUAUAAGCCUGGGAAACUGGGUCUAAUUCCCGAUAGGACUGCAGGGUGGUGCCUGUGGUGGAAAACGAUUUUCUAGUGGUUGGGGAUGAGCUCGCGGCCUAUCAGCUUGUUGGUGGGGUAAUGGCCUACCAAGGCGGCGACGGGUAGCCGGCCUGGGAGGGUGGACGGCCACAUUGGGACUGGGACACGGCCCAGACUCCUACGGGAGGCAGCAGUGGGGAAUAUUGCACAAUGGGCGGAAGCCUGAUGCAGCGACGCCGCGUGGGGGAUGACGGCCUUCAGGUUGUAAACUCCUUUCGACCGCGAGGAAGCCACCUGGUUGGAAGGGUGGUGACGGUAGUGGUAGAAGAAGCACCGGCUAACUACGU